rnacentral:piRNA from 1 species
UGACUUGCUUUUGCCCUUGUGCCUAGUUA